UACAGAGGUCCCGAGCGUUUGUUCGGAUUCAUUGGGCGUAAAGGGUGCGUAGGUGGCGCCGUAAGUGGGGUGUGAAAUCCCGGGGCUUAACCCCGGGACUGCAUUCCAUACUGCGGUGCUUGAGGACUGGAGAGGAGACUGGAAUUUACGGUGUAGCAGUGAAAUGCGUAGAGAUCGUAAGGAAGACCAGUGGCGAAGGCGGGUCUCUGGACAGUUCCUGACACUGAGGCACGAAGGCCAGGGGAGCAAACGGGG
rnacentral:rRNA from 1 species